AGCGAACGCUGGCGGCAGGCCUAACACAUGCAAGUCGAACGGACCCUUCGGGGUUAGUGGCGGACGGGUGAGUAACACGUGGGAGCGUGCCUUUAGGUUCGGAAUAGCUCCUGGAAACGGGUGGUAAUGCCGAAUGUGCCCUUCGGGGGAAAGAUUUAUCGCCUUUAGAGCGGCCCGCGUCUGAUUAGCUAGUUGGUGGGGUAAAUGGCCCACCAAGGCUACGAUCAGUAGCUGGUCUGAGAGGAUGACCAGCCACAUUGGGACUGAGACACGGCCCAAACUCCUACGGGAGCAGCAGUGGGGAAUCUUGCGCAAUGGGCGAAAGCCUGACGCAGCCAUGCCGCGUGUAUGAUGAAGGUCUUAGGAUUGUAAAAUACUUUCACCGGUGAAGAUAAUGACUGUAGCCGGAGAAGAAGCCCCGGCUAACUUCGUGCCAGCAGCCGCGGUAAU
rnacentral:rRNA from 1 species